CCCCUAUCUGUCUCUAUCUCUAUCUCUCUCUUCCUCUUGGAUUCUCCCUCUCCACUUUCUUUAUCGUGUCGGUUCAAGCUUGAUACAGUGGCUACCGAAGCAUACCACCAGCCGCCUGGCAUAGGAUCCGGUUCCGGUUCAGCCAAACCUAGUUAACAACACUUUGUUUUUUCCCCUCAUGGGCAUAUGCAGUAAAAGAAAGGCCAAGCUGAAACUCCAAAGAAUUCAUGCACAUAUAUUACUAAGUAUACUGUCAACGGCUUGAAUACUACUGUAC
rnacentral:lncRNA from 1 species